rnacentral:rRNA from 1 species
GACGAACGCUGGCGGCGUGCUUAACACAUGCAAGUCGAACGGAAAGGCCCUGCUUUUGUGGGGUGCUCGAGUGGCGAACGGGUGAGUAACACGUGAGUAACCUGCCCUUGACUUUGGGAUAACUUCAGGAAACUGGGGCUAAUACCGGAUAGGAGCUCCUGCUGCAUGGUGGGGGUUGGAAAGUUUCGGCGGUUGGGGAUGGACUCGCGGCUUAUCAGCUUGUUGGUGGGGUAGUGGCUUACCAAGGCUUUGACGGGUAGCCGGCCUGAGAGGGUGACCGGCCACAUUGGGACUGCGAGACGGCGCAGACUCCUACGGGAGGCAGCAGGGGGGAAUAUGGCACAAUGGGCGGAAGCCUGAUGCAGCAACGCCGCGUGCGGGAUGACGGGCUUCGGGGUGUAAACCGCUUUCGCCUGUGACGAAGCGGGAGUGACGGUAAUGGGUAAAGAAGCACCGGCUAACUACGUG